CCUACGGGAGGCAGCAGUGGGGGAUAUUGCACAAUGGGGGGAACCCUGAUGCAGCGACGCCGCGUGGGUGAAGAAGCGCCUCGGCGCGUAAAGUCCUGUCAGCAGGGAAGAAAAUGACGGUACCUGAAGAAGAAGCCCCGGCUAACUACGUGCCAGCAGCCGCGGUAAUACGUAGGGGGCAAGCGUUAUCCGGAUUUACUGGGUGGAAAGGGGGCGCAGACGGCGAUGCAAGCCAGGAGUGAAAGCCCGGGGCCCAACCCCGGGACUGCGCUUGGAACUGCGUGGCUGGAGUGCAGGAGGGGCAGGCGGAAUUCCUGGUGUAGCGGUGAAAUGCGUAGAUAUCAGGAGGAACACCGGUGGCGAAGGCGGCCUGCUGGACUGCAACUGACGUUGAGGCCCGAAAGCGUGGGGAGCAAACAGGAUUAGAUACCCCAGUAGUC
rnacentral:rRNA from 1 species